AUGGCAGAAUGCUUCAAUAAGGUGCUCAAGGGUGUACGUGCAUUACCCGUGACGGCAAUAGUUCAAUACACAUUUGACAAGAUGAAUGUAUACUUUUUAAAGUACUCAAUGGAGACAGAUAAGCAGAUUGCUAGUGAGAACAAGGAUAAGCACAAGUACAAUUUCCCACCAAAGGUUGAAGAAUGGUUGGAAUUUCAAUCAUGAAAGGCAGACUCCCAAGAAGCUGUACUAUAUGACGACAACGAGUGGAAGUAUGAGGUGAAAGAGCCUGGAGGAACCACAAACUAUGGCCACCAACACGGAGGCCGGGCUUUCAAGGUCUCCCUAACACGGUGUGAUUGCAGCUGCAUGAGGCCAUUGUUGCUUCAUCUCCCAUGCUCGCACUUGUUAAACACAUCCCGUGUUAGGAAUGUGGACGUCAAUCACCCUCUUACCGUGAGGGAGUCAGAGUUCUCAAUCAUGGCGGUAAAGAAUACAUGGGCUCCACGGUUUCAGCCAUACUUGGACCAAUCACAAUGGCCGGAGUAUUAUGGAGUUCAACUAUGGCCGGACCCGGAAUCGAAGGUCGUUAGACGGGGAAAACGUAAGACAAAGCAUCUUAGAGGUGACAUGGAUGUAUGGGGCCAUGGUGGGGGUGGAGAAUACGGCACCGACCAAUUCCAAGAGCCUCAUGAGCAAUCCCGUUGUGGGGACUGCAGUCAUGGGGGACACAACACAAGAACUUGUCCCAAACCAAGAAAGAGAUCAAAGAAAAAUGGUGCAAGCACAAGCCAAGCAAAUGAUAGCCAACCAAGUCAACCAAGGAGUAGCCAACCAAGUCAAACAAGUGGUGGAGUGCCAAACCAAUCAAAUCAAACAAGCCAAUGA
rnacentral:rRNA from 1 species